CCUACGGGGGGCUGCAGUGGGGAAUAUUGGGCAAUGGGCGAAAGCCUGACCCAGCAACGCCGCGUGAAGGAAGAAGGUUUUCGGAUCGUAAACUUCUAUCCUUGGUGAAGAUAAUGACGGUAGCCAAGAAGGAAGCCCCGGCUAACUACGUGCCAGCAGCCGCGGUAAUACGUAGGGGGCAAGCGUUGUCCGGAAUGAUUGGGCGUAAAGGGCGCGUAGGCGGCCCGGUAAGUCUGGAGUGAAAGUCCUGCUUUUAAGGUGGGAAUUGCUUUGGAUACUGCUGGGCUUGAGUGCAGGAGAGGUAAGUGGAAUUCCCGGUGUAGCGGUGAAAUGCGUAGAGAUCGGGAGGAACACCAGUGGCGAAGGCGACUUACUGGACUGUAACUGACGCUGAGGCGCGAAAGUGUGGGGAGCAAACAGGAUUAGAUACCCCUGUAGUCG
rnacentral:rRNA from 2 species